rnacentral:rRNA from 1 species
AGUGAACGCUGGCGGUAGGCCUAACACAUGCAAGUCGAACGGCAGCACAGUAAAAGCUUGCUCUUACGGGUGGCGAGUGGCGGACGGGUGAGGAAUACAUCGGAAUCUACUCUUUCGUGGGGGAUAACGUAGGGAAACUUACGCUAAUACCGCAUACGACCUACGGGUGAAAGCAGGGGAUCUUCGGACCUUGCGCGAUUGAAUGAGCCGAUGUCGGAUUAGCUAGUUGGCGGGGUAAAGGCCCACCAAGGCGACUAUCCGUAGCUGGUCUGAGAGCAUGAUCAGCCACACUAGAACUGAGACCCUGUCCAGACGCCUACGGGAGCGAGCAGUGGGGAAUAUUGGACAAUGGGCGCAAGCCUGAUCCAGCCAUACCGCGUGGGUGAAGAAGGCCUUCGGGUUGUAAAGCCCUUUUGUUGGGAAAGAAAAGCAGCAGGUUAAUACCCAGCUGUUCUGACGGUACCCAAAUAAUAAGCACCGGCUAACUUCGUG